GAAUGGAAGAAAAUAUUAGGCACCGGAAGACCGAAGUAACGGUCAAGAAACAGAAGAAGAGAGAGAGUUCCAAGGGACUUUCUUUCUGUUUGCUAAGUUGUAACUUUCAUUCUGUAAGGUUUUGUGAUAAGAAGCAGGAUUGGUGCCCACAUUGCACACCAUGUUGUUCAUUAUUUGGGCAAUCAGAGAACUAAAUUUCUGUAACUGCUGCUUCAUUUAAAGUCACAUACAGUAUUGGCAUCAUUCAGUUGGCACACUGCAAUAAUGGCACAGUAUUUUGUUUAUAAUUUUACUGGAGAUGGAAAAGUAUCCACAAAGUGUUCAGCAUGUGUUAUAUUGAUGUUGUUCAAAGAGUGUAAUGAUUGUUUUUUAUGUUAAUUAUCUUUGGGUGAGGGGGUUCACUGUCCAGUAAUUUAUGAGAGAUAACAAAUGCAUAUACAUCUCUGUGUUACAUAUGUGUAGUGAGAGCCAUGCAUGUAAAGAAAAGUCUCAAUUAGUGGUGAUCAAUUAAUCAGGAUCAAACCAUGCAGUCCCUAUUUAAUAAAGCAUUAUCAUUUUCAUGUAAAAAAUUAGUGCUAUUACUUGGAUGAAUUGCUCAUGGAAUUUUACCAAUAAGUUCUUUGUUUACAUGUAAAGAAAAUAGGCACAUCUAAAAGCUUUAUUAAGUUGGUAUUUGAUUUGUCACUUCUUUAAUUCCAUACACUGUGAUAUCCUGGAUCUGAUUUAGCCAUGUGAGAAUGUAAAGAGGGAGAUGAUUAAGAAUUUAGCUUCAGCUGGUAUUCUUGGAACCAUGGCCAAGAUCCAUAUCACACUUGGAAAGUGGAUGAUGUGGAGUACUGACAUAUUCUUUGAUGCCAGACUCUUGUAAUAUACAUGUUACAGAAAUCAGCUGAAACAUUCUGCAAGACUUUAGUUGAAAUCCCAACAGAGAUCAAGCUGGCUACAAUCUUUAAGUAUUCUAUUUACUAGAUUUCCCCCCUUUGGGGCACUUUGCGUGACAUGAUACGGCUAAAAACCAGCAUUGUGGCAACAUUCUCAUCAGUCAUAAUGACAGAACACUUUAAUACCCAAGGGCUGACAACUACUUAGCUAUAGUAAAGUUUUGUUGUUGAUGCCAGUGGUAAGUUUGGUUAAUCUUUGGUUUUCUGUGAAUAGCGGUCGUAUUUGGCAGAAUUUUGCUGAGAGUGUUUUAUGUUGCAAGAGAAUACAGAUUUUUGUGGUAUAGGUGGUUUCCAUUAUAAUAAAGCGUUGCAACUGUGACAGAUUAUUAUUGAGGUGGCUAUUUGUUUUUAUUGUCCAUCGGACUUUCCUGUUAACUUCUAUUAUACGAACGGUUAGAAUGCCAGUUAAGAAUUUGGGUCCUUACGAAUCGUGUUUCCGCAAAUGCAGCCAGCAGAAAAUUCACCAUGUUUUAAUCUGUGGUGUAGGAGAUCCAAGAUUCUACCAGUGUGCGGUGUGAUUAUACGAAACGUGUUAUCAAGGGUUAUUUCUGCUAGUGGACAUUAAGUCACAGAUUAGAAACAGAAAUAAGCACAGAACAUUCAUGAAAAGAUGGCACACUGAAUACUUGCAGAGGAAUAUUUUCCAUUGAUUUGGACCUGUUGGAAACUUGUUAAGUUGGUGUGUACAUCUUGUGGCCGGAGAGAUGAAGGUGAGUUUGAAUUCAAUUCCAAUAUUUUUGUGUUUAUUUUCUGACGGAUGUUGUUAUAUGUAGGCUUAAUCAAAAUCGCUUUUUAUGUUUGAUAUUCACAGCAGGCGUGUGUGCACAGAAUCCUCUCUCUUUGGGUAUAUUCUGUAUUCCAUCUUGAGAUGUCAAAUGAAGCAACAUAUUAAAAUCACUUAAAAUGAUAAUAUAAGAAUUGUAGGAGUAAUUCAGGUGUGAGAAGACAGUUGAGGGCUAUAAAACAAUUACUUCUACGACGAUCAGUUUUGAGAAAAUUGUGAAUAAGAUAUUGCUGGUUGUGUAAAUAUUUCUAGGUUAUAAUUAAUUUUAAAAAGUAUGAGGUUGAAGCAAGCCUCAGGUUUUUUCUUUCAGUUGCUAAAGGGAAGACAAACUUAUCCCUGAUGCUUAAAUCAGCAUGUAAAGGUUGUGAUGGCGCACUGAAUGGUAUUUCUUCCACCUGAAAAUGUCUCAAUGACAUUUGAUUCCAAACGUUCCGACGACAGUCUGAUGGAAUUUAAUGAAGAAAACUGUUUCUUUGAAUUGUUAUAUCAUCAGAACAUUAGAGGCCUUUCAACCCAAAACUUUGAGACCACCCAGAAAAUCUCCUGGUUUUCCAUCAGAACAUCAGAGGACUUUUCCCAAAAACUGAAGAAUUGGUAAUUUCUCUUAAAAAUGCCCAAUUACCACAUAUUCUUUGACUAACUGAACAUCAUUUGAAAGCACCAGAUAUCUUACAGGGCCUCGUCGUUUCCCUGUAGAAGAUUUCUGGUGCAUUAGAGGAAGUGGGGGGAAUCACGCCGCCUGAGGCAAUGCCGCAACCUAAAUAUUUUUCAAACGAUUUGAAUUGAGCGCGCUCUGUUCGCAUUGAAAUCUUGGUGACGUCAUACAAACAGUCUAGAGCGCUUAUGGCCGACUGACUACGUUGUCGUGUUUUGUUUGUGGUGAAGAAAAAUCUCAUUGUAGGCAUGUCUAGUCUAAUUUUUGAAGUUUGCAGAUUGCAUGCAGGAUAAACUAACAUACUCCAUCUGCUGUACACUGUGGUACUUGGCCCCUGAAGCAAUGAGGGGAUAGGGCACAGCAUGGUAAUUAUUCACCACCAUGAGUAUGUAGAAAUUUAAAUGUUAAAUAUAGUGUGAUAUUCACCUCUUGUAUUAAAGUACACAACAAAAUUUGCAACAUCUUUUGAUAAGAAAUGUAAUUAAGCUUGCAGCAGUGAAAUAAGUACAUACCAGAGUUAUCAAUCAUAGGCACAUCUACAACUGAAAUUUUAAAAAAUACCCCUGUUAGCUCUUUUGUUUGUGUUUGUUGGCCGUCUCUCCAUCAACAUUGAAGAUGCCAGGAUCGGAUUUUCAUUAUAUUUCUUAAUAAUGCGGACACAUUUUCUUACCAUUAUAAAGGAAUAUUUCUGCAUAUGUAUUAAAGAAUACCAUAUGUUACAUAUAUGAAAUCGUAGAUACAUUUGUUUAUUGUUACGAAAACACAAAUCUAGUUCUUAAAUCGUUGGAUAUGUAAUGAAAUGAUGUACCAUAAUUAUGUAUGUUAAAUAUAUAAUGUUUAAAGCAAGGACAGAAGGUAUUUGAAGGAAGUUGGCUGGAAUUAUGGACAGUUGUGGAGUAUGAUAAUAGGGAACCUACAACAGUGGAAACUUCGCAAGAAUGAGGUUAUGUAAUAACAAAUGAAAUAUACAAUGUAUAAACUAAGAGAAUUGUAUGAGGAAAGAAUUGCAGCAUAUUUUAAGGUAUUUUCCUACCAUUUGCUUGGAAAGGCCAAGGAUAACAAAAAAAGUCAGUCAGGAUAGUCAGUCCCAGUUUCAACACAGCAGGCUCCCCCCCUUCCCCAUGCUCAUGCAUAUUUUCCAGUUCUGAUGUGUUAUUGCAGGUGAUGUGAUGCAGCAGUUAGUACAUGCUCCCAUAGCUUUGGCAAUUGGGCUGAGUUUUGGGAUAGGAUGGGGAAUUCUUUUGAUG